rnacentral:rRNA from 1 species
ACAGGGAUUGCCCUAGUAACGGCGAGUGAAGCGGCAACAGCUCAAAUUUGAAAUCUGGCUCUUUCAGAGUCCGAGUUGUAAUUUGCAGAGGGCGCUUUGGCUUUGGCAGCGGUCCAAGUUCCUUGGAACAGGACGUCACAGAGGGUGAGAAUCCCGUACGUGGUCGCUAGCUAUUGCCGUGUAAAGCCCCUUCGACGAGUCGAGUUGUUUGGGAAUGCAGCUCUAAAUGGGAGGUAAAUUUCUUCUAAAGCUAAAUAUUGGCCAGAGACCGAUAGCGCACAAGUAGAGUGAUCGAAAGAUGAAAAGCACUUUGGAAAGAGAGUCAAACAGCACGUGAAAUUGUUGAAAGGGAAGCGCUUGCAGCCAGACUUGCUUGCAGUUGCUCAUCCGGGCUUUUGCCCGGUGCACUCUUCUGCAGGCAGGCCAGCAUCAGUUUGGGCGGUGGGAUAAAGGUCUCUGUCAUGUACCUCUCUUCGGGGAGGCCUUAUAGGGGAGGCGACAUACCACCAGCCUAGACUGAGGUCCGCGCAUCUGCUAGGAUGCUGGCGUAAUGGCUGUAAGCGGCCCGUCUUGAAACACGGACCAAGGAGUCUAACAUCUAUGCGAGUGUUUGGGUGUCAAGCCCGAGCGCGUAAUGAAAGUGAACGGAGGUGGGAACCCGCAAGGGUGCACCAUCGACCGAUCCUGAAGUUUACGGAAGGAUUUGAGUAAGAGCAUGGCUGUUGGGACCCGAAAGAUGGUGAACUAUGCUUGAAUAGGGUGAAGCCAGAGGAAACUCUGGUGGAGGCUCGCAGCGGUUCUGACGUGCAAAUCGAUCGUCAAAUUUGGGCAUAGGGGCGAAAGACUAAUCGA